CCCCUACGGGAGGCAGCAGUGAGGAAUAUUGGUCAAUGGUCGGGAGACUGAACCAGCCAAGCCGCGUGAGGGAUGAAGGUACAGAGUAUCGUAAACCUCUUUUGUUAGAGAACAAAGGCGGGGACGUGUCCCCGGAUGAGUGUACCCGAAGAAAAAGCAUCGGCUAACUCCGUGCCAGCAGCCGCGGUAAUACGGAGGAUGCGAGCGUUAUCCGGAUUUAUUGGGUUUAAAGGGUGCGCAGGCGGAAGAUCAAGUCAGCGGUAAAAUACGGGGGCUCAACCUCCGCCCGCCGUUGAAACUGACGG
rnacentral:rRNA from 1 species